UACGGAGGGUGCAAGCGUUAAUCGGAAUUACUGGGCGUAAAGCGUGCGCAGGCGGUUUGUUAAGUCUGCUGUGAAAUCCCCGAGCUCAACUUGGGAAUUGCAGUGGAUACUGGCAGGCUGGAGUAUGGUAGAGGAAGGUGGAAUUCCCGGUGUAGCAGUGAAAUGCGUAGAGAUCGGGAGGAACACCUGUGGCGAAGGCGGCCCCCUGGGCCGGCCCUGACACUGAGACGCGAAGGCGUGGGGAGCGAACGGG
rnacentral:rRNA from 1 species